rnacentral:rRNA from 1 species
GACGAACGCUGGCGGCGUGCCUAACACAUGCAAGUCGAACGGAGUAAAGCGCUGAAAAGGAGGUAGCUUGCUACUGAAUUUUCUUGUUUUACUUAGUGGCGGACGGGUGAGUAACGCGUGAGUAACCUGCCUUACAGAGGGGGACAACAGUUGGAAACGACUGCUAAUACCGCAUAAUGUAUGACCGAGGCAUCUCGGAGAUACCAAAGGAGCAAUCCGCUGUAAGAUGGACUCGCGUCCAAUUAGAUAGUUGGUGGGGUAACGGCCCACCAAGUCGACGAUCAGUAGCCGGUCUGAGAGGAUGAACGGCCACAUUGGGACUGAGAUACGGCCCAGACUCCUACGGGAGGCAGCAGUGGGGAAUAUUGGGCAAUGGGGGAAACCCUGACCCAGCAACGCCGCGUGAAGGAAGAAGG